UACACUGCAUCAUACGCUUUUUAUUAGUAUCUACCCCGAUUGAAGAUGAAAUACUUUGUGGUUGUUUUUUUGUUUUUGGCCUACUUGCAUCUUAGUAUUUCAGAAAAUUGUACCGAUGCCGAGUACAAUCCAGGGCCGGAUUGCGGCUUGGAGCCCACUUGCGCAACAAGAAGUUCUCACUUUUACCCUAAACAUGUCUGCGAAUGUUGGUGCAAACCCGGCACCUACAGAAAAGUGGAGAUCAAUGCAUGUGUUGAAUUGACUGAUUGUUAGAUAAUAUUAAUAAAAAGUUUUGUUUAUUUUUC